rnacentral:rRNA from 1 species
UACGAAGGGGGCUAGCGUUGCUCGGAAUUACUGGGCGUAAAGGGCGCGUAGGCGGCACUGUUAGUCAGGCGUGAAAUCUCCUGGCUCAACUGGGAGGGUGCGCCGGAAACUGGAGUGCUUGAGCGUGGGAGAGGAAAGCGGAAUUCCUGGUGUAGCGGUGAAAUGCGUAGAUAUCAGGAGGAACACCUGUGGUGUAGACGGCUUUCUGGACCAUAGCUGACGCUGAGACACGAAAGCGUGGGUAGCAAACAGG